GAUUAGCUCUAAUGAAAGUUUCACGAAAUUUUCGAGUCGUAACUCAGAGCUGCAAAGUUGUAAUGAAACGGCUUUCGGUGCAGCAAGAUGGAUAUGAGGAGUAUUCGGAACUAGUUUUUGAUACCCGCCACCAGAUCAAUUAUUGGCCGGAAAAUGGUGAAUGUAUGGUCGAAUAUGUCAAUAGAUUCGAUGAAUCGCACCAAAAGCCACCGAAAUUUCUUGCUGGCGAAGAUUACAUGGAAUUACACAGAAGAGAUCUCGAAUUGAUCAUGAAAAAUCGUCGAGUUCAAUUAAAGACUUUCCAUUUCACAAUUGCUGGUGUUAAAGAAGGUUUACAUGAGAAAUGUAUAGAGGAUCUCGAGAAUAUUCUGAAAUCGGCGAAGAGUUUGACGGCAAACGCUGUAGAAACAAUGCUGCUCUCUUACUCGGAGUUUGCUUCGCUAUUAUCAAUCUUCCCUGCUGAACAUUUGCAAAAAAUUAAUUAUGAUGGAGACACUGGACCUGAUGAAUUCGGAUAUAAGCAUCUCGUUACAAUGGAUCAAUGGAAAAUGGCUAGGGAAUUUAAUCAUUCAAUUGGAGAAUUGGAUAUUCCGUUCGAGAAUUUUCUGAAUUUCGAUAGUUUUUGUGUUCAAAUUUCGAGGUUCACCAGAAAUGAUGCCGUCAAACUUCGAAAUGUGUGAGUAUAGUUUAUAUACCACAAUUAUAUGCACUUUUCCAGAUGAUUGAAAGAUCCCCCAAUUUCAAGAGCGCUCAGAUCUUUGCGAAGGACAUGGACGCUAUCAGAGAGAAUUCAAUCUUUUUGCCCGACGAUAGUGACAGUGACUCGGAUGAUGAUCCAGUUUUUGGAGUAUACAAUAUUCGUUAUACGACAUCUGAUGAACGACUCUUCUAUAUCAGAUUUUAUCGCUCUAGUCUUUAUAUUAAAAAAUCCGACUGGAACCCAAAGUAUGACUUUACCGAUUUCUAGUUCGUUUAAUUUAAUUUUUGUUGUUUUUCUAGUUAUAAUUUUUGUUGUUUUUCCUAGUUAUAAUUGUUGUUGUUUUCGAAUUUUAUUCAAUAAUAUUUGUGAAAAGAUUGUUCUCUAAACGAAAAAAUGCGGGUACGGUAGUCUGGAAAGGACGUGAAGUGUUUGCGGACCGGGCCUUUAAUUUGACGAGCAAAGUUUCUUACAGAUUUUUUAAAUUUUUAUAAAACGUUUUUUACUUUGAUGUUCCGUUAAAAUUCAGUUCCAAUUUCUUAAAAUUAAGUCAAUAGGAGCUAAAUUUCGUUUUUCCUCCAAACCAUGUAGUUAUUUUUAUUCAAAAUCUUGAUUUAGCAGUUUCCCGGCGAUAAAUUGAAAUGUCCACCUCUCUACGCGAAAAUCAGCUCAUUAUUCGAGCAUGUAUUCUCUACGAAGCUCUCGACAAGAAGCCGAUUCAAGAAUCGUACAAAAAUUUCUGUAGAAAAGUGGGGAAAGACGUCAUGACAUUUUAUGAAUUCGAUUUUUGGUAUUGGAGAUUUUACCACGGAAAUCACGAUUUGCAUUAUGAUAGAAG
rnacentral:sRNA from 1 species